GGAAUAAUUAAAAAAAUAUAUUUUUAAUCAUAUUUUUAUGUAAUUAUAUAAUGUACAUAAAAAAUAUAUAAGAUAUUUUUAAACAAAAUCUUCAGAAUUCUAAGGGUGAUAUGUGUUCAGUAGAUCAGUAAUAAGAAGGUCAAUUAGAUAAUUAAAAACAUUAGAAAUAAGUUAAAAUAUGUAAAAAUCAGUAAUUAAAUGCCUUUCAUAUGUUGGAUUUAAUGAUGAUGUCCACAAGUGGUUAUCACCUUUCAUCUCUAUAGUUAAUGGUGAACUAAGUUCACCCAAGAAUUUAGAAUUGACAGUAUUGUAUCAGGUUUGAAUUUCUG
rnacentral:misc_RNA from 1 species